UUCCGGUUGAUCCUGCCGGAAACUACUGCUAUUGGAAUUCGAUUAAGCCAUGCGAGUUUAAAGGACUUCGGUCCUUGGCAGACGGCUCAGUAACACGUGGAGAACCUGCCCUCAGGAGGGAGAUAACCCCGGGAAACUGGGAAUAAUACCCCAUAGGUCUAGAAUGCUGGAAUGCUUCUAGGCUCAAAGCUCCGGCGCCUGAGGAUGGCUCUGCGGCUUAUCAGGUUGUAGUGAGAGUAACGUCCUCACUAGCCUAUGACGGGUACGGGCCCUGAGAGGGGAUGCCCGGAGAUGGACUCUGAGACACGAGUCCAGGCCCUACGGGGCGCAGCAGGCGCGAAAACUCCGCAAUGCUCGAAAGAGUGACGGGGGGAUUCCAAGUGCCUACGCUUAGCGUAGGCUGUUCAGAUGCCUAAAAAGCAUCUGGAGUAAGGGCUGGGUAAGACGGGUGCCAUCUGUGGCAGCAGCCGAAGAUUUGGCUUGUUGCUGCAAGGCAUAAGCCGCCGCGGUAAUACCCGCAGCCCGAGUGGUAGUCGAUUUUAUUGGGCCUAAAGCGUCCGUAUCCGGUCUGAUAAAUGCCUGGGUAAAUCGUCUGGCUUAACCAGACGAAUUCCGGGUAGACUGUCAGACUUGGGACCGGUUGAGGAAGAGGGUACUUUAGGGGUAGGAGUGAAAUCCUGUAAUCCUUGAAGGACCACCAGUGGCGAAGGCGCUCUUCUA
rnacentral:rRNA from 1 species